GUCCAUCUCCAAUUCCCCUCGGGCCUGGCCAUAUCUCCAUCUCUCUUCUCCCCCACCACUUCUUCCACCUCAGGCCGCUGCCACGGCGAGGCCGGCGUGGUGGUGCGCCUCCGCAGCCCAGCCACCACCAUCUCCAUCCAUCUCCACUGCGCCACCAUCCACAUCAGCGCCGCUGCGCCAUCCAUUCACCAGCACCACCAUCGCCUCCUGCCACCACUCCACCAGCGCCGCCACCAGCGCCCACCUCGCGAGCCCCUCCUUCUUCCUCUCGACCUCCUACUGCUGCCUUCUCUUCUUCCACGCAACCUGCUGCUGCUCCUUCUUCCUAUUCGCCCCUGCUGCUCUUCUUGCUGAAGCCCUCUUUCCUUGCCCCGCUGCUCCUCCUCCUUCAAUCCCUUUGCCGCUGUUCUUCUCCUUGUCCCUACUACUGCUGCUGAACCGCUCCUCCUCUUGUUGUGUCUCUGCUGCUCGCUGCUACUCUAGCUGCUGCUCCUAGUUCUUCUCUGAACGAAAACUGCUGCUGCUUCUCUCCUCUCUUACUUCUUGCAAAUUUCUGAAAACUGCUAGGAUCAUGUCAAAGAGGAAUUGCCAUCUUUUGUCGUCAUCAUGGUUGCCCCAUGCCGAAAAGUACUCGCGUAGGAAUGGGGCCAGGUCGGCGAAUCGUGAUCAGCGAACUAGAACGUUCGAUGGAACAAACUGGAUGAUCUAUAACUCUUUGAAGUGCGACUAUUUCCAGUUGUGCCACUCCAUUUAAUAAAAAAGUUCAGCUUGCUAUCAUUGGAUUUCUAGAAAGUUGAGAUCAGACAUGGUUGUAUUAAUAUAUUGUCUUUUAGAAGUUAGAAAGAUAAUGGUUGCCUUGCAUAUAAGGGAUAUAAAAUAUAGAAUCUUCCAACUUUGGGAGACAAUGUGUCUUUGAAGGGGAAAGUCUAAACGUUGGACAAAGCAUAUUGGAUUACAAAGUUAUCCAAGCAGCAAGAGGAAGUAGAAAGAUUGGGAGCAGCUAAAGCUUCUUCCACUAUGGGAUCUAAGACAACCAAUGAACAAGGAUCCAAAGAACUAGCUGGACUGUACUCUACAUCAUGGACAGUUUAGUCUUCAUAGUUAAUUAGGAUGGCUAAAUUACAUUUGAGUUUCAUUUGAUGGAUAUUUGCUAUGAGAAUUAUGAAUUUUAUGAAUAUACAUAUCAUACAUAUGGUUUUGAAUAUUGUCACAAUAGUUUCUCGCUACAAAGAUUUCACCUGUUGUGAUACCUAUUUAUCACUACCAAGACAAGUAUGUUGCAAU